AUAUAAAUGAAGAUGCUCAGGAAAGUGACUCUUUGAAAACUCAUUUGGAAGAUGAAAGAGAUAAUAGCAAAAAGAAGAAGAAUUUGGAAGAAGCUGAAUUACAUUCAACUGAGAAAGUUCCAUGUAUUGAAUUUGAUGAUGAUGAUUAUGAUACGGAUUUUGUUCCACCUUCUCCAGAAGAAAUUAUUUCUGCUUCUUCUUCCUCUUCAAAAUGCCUUAGUAUGUUAAAGGACCUUGACACCUCUGACAGAAAAGAGGAUGUUCUUAGCACAUCAAAAGAUCUUUUGUCAAAACCUGAGAAAAUGAGUAUGCAGGAGCCGAAUCCAGAAACCAGCACAGACUAUGACGAAGGAAACUUCUAACGGAAGUAGAUUUUAAUAAAAGUGAUGCCAGUCUUCUUGGCUCAAUGUGGAGAUGCAGGCCUGAUUCACUUGAUGGCCCUAUGGAGGGUGAUUCCUGCCCUACAGGGAAUUCUAUGAAGGAGUUGAAUUUUUCACACCUUCCCUCAAAUGCUGUUUCCCCUGGGGACUGUUUACUGACUACCACCCUAGGAAAGACAGGAUUCUCUGCCACCAGG
rnacentral:sRNA from 1 species